AUCACCCUGACUGAAAUACCCUCCCAACCCAAUGAAGCCAGAGAACGGACCUCUGCUGCAAAUGUUUCAAGCCUCCCUCCUCCGUCCCAAAGGCUCUCUCAGAUAAGGCAGCG